GACGAAUUCUGGCGGCGUGCCUAAUACAUGCAAGUAGAACGCUGAAGAGAGGAGCUUGCUCUUCUUGGAUGAGUUGCGAACGGGUGAGUAACGCGUAGGUAACCUGCCUUGUAGCGGGGGAUAACUAUUGGAAACGAUAGCUAAUACCGCAUAACAAUGGAUGACACAUGUCAUUUAUUUGAAAGGGGCAAUUGCUCCACUACAAGAUGGACCUGCGUUGUAUUAGCUAGUAGGUGAGGUAACGGCUCACCUAGGCGACGAUACAUAGCCGACCUGAGAGGGUGAUCGGCCACACUGGGACUGAGACACGGCCCAGACUCCUACGGGAGGCAGCAGUAGGGAAUCUUCGGCAAUGGGGGCAACCCUGACCGAGCAACGCCGCGUGAGUGAAGAAGGUUUUCGGAUCGUAAAGCUCUGUUGUAAGUCAAGAACGAGUGUGAGAGUGGAAAGUUCACACUGUGACGGUAGCUUACCAGAAAGGGACGGCUAACUACGUGCCAGCAGCCGCGGUAAUACGUAGGUCCCGAGCGUUGUCCGGAUUUAUUGGGCGUAAAGCGAGCGCAGGCGGUUUGAUAAGUCUGAAGUUAAAGGCUGUGGCUCAACCAUAGUUCGCUUUGGAAACUGUCAAACUUGAGUGCAGAAGGGGAGAGUGGAAUUCCAUGUGUAGCGGUGAAAUGCGUAGAUAUAUGGAGGAACACCGGUGGCGAAAGCGGCUCUCUGGUCUGUAACUGACGCUGAGGCUCGAAAGCGUGGAGAGCGAACAGGAUUAGAUACCCUGGUAGUCCACGCCGUAAACGAUGAGUGCUAGGUGUUGGAUCCUUUCCGGGAUUCAGUGCCGCAGCUAACGCAUUAAGCACUCCGCCUGGGGAGUACGACCGCAAGGUUGAAACUCAAAGGAAUUGACGGGGGCCCGCACAAGCGGUGGAGCAUGUGGUUUAAUUCGAAGCAACGCGAAGAACCUUACCAGGUCUUGACAUCCCGAUGCUAUUUCUAGAGAUAGAAAGUUACUUCGGUACAUCGGUGACAGGUGGUGCAUGGUUGUCGUCAGCUCGUGUCGUGAGAUGUUGGGUUAAGUCCCGCAACGAGCGCAACCCCUAUUGUUAGUUGCCAUCAUUCAGUUGGGCACUCUAGCGAGACUGCCGGUAAUAAACCGGAGGAAGGUGGGGAUGACGUCAAAUCAUCAUGCCCCUUAUGACCUGGGCUACACACGUGCUACAAUGGUUGGUACAACGAGUUGCGAGUCGGUGACGGCAAGCUAAUCUCUUAAAGCCAAUCUCAGUUCGGAUUGUAGGCUGCAACUCGCCUACAUGAAGUCGGAAUCGCUAGUAAUCGCGGAUCAGCACGCCGCGGUGAAUACGUUCCCGGGCCU
rnacentral:rRNA from 1 species